CAAAGCUUUCAACAUUUCUGGACGGAUCUCGGACCGGGGUGGUGGUUCCCCUGUUCAAAAAGGGGGACCAGAGGGUGUGUGCCAAUUACUGGGGUAUCACACUUCUCAGCCUCCCUGGGAAAGUCUACUCAAAGGAGCUGUGAGUGGCCGUACUGAGAGUAAGAAUGUUGUGCUUUUGGAAGGUCUGCUCUAGUUAACAGGACAGCGACAUGGAAAAUACUGUGACAACAAAGAAAAAAAGAAAAAAAGAACAGAAAAUCACAUAAAAGUUUCACCACAGAGGUUGCAAAGGGACUAAACACAUCCAAAAUUAGGCAAGAGUGGAUUUACAGGAACAAGACAACCAAUUAUGAAGACUUGCCUGUCCUAUCACACUUUGAGUUUCCCUGACAAACUUGUUUCCAGGAGUCAAGGUUUAGAAGAUUGCUUUCAUGAUGAAAUUUGCAGUCCUUGCCAUAAUGCUUUUGUUUACCGUGCCGAAUACAUUUUCUGGGCAUCACUAUCACAGAAGCUACUCUCACAGUGAUGAAAGGUUCUACCAUUUCCUGAUGCCAACAUAUACCUGGUAUCAACCUAGACCAGUGCCUCCACGGUUUGUGUUCCCACUUUGGCCUCUCUUCCCGGGAUUAAUUCCAGCCACUGUACCUCUACCUGCACCAAAUCCUGGACCAAGUCCUAGCAACCCCACCCCUGCCCCUAUCACCACCAUAAUCAGGGGAGAUAAUGGAUAGCUAGAAACCUUGGUUAUCUUGGAAGAAGACUGAUAUCAACCCAAUGGAUUUUAUUUUUAACUCAUGAAAUAUGUGUGGUCUUUUGGUAAAAUCUUUUAGUUUCCAGUUCUCUUAUAUCUAUUUUUUUAAAUCUCGGUGUUGAUGUAUUGUGUAUAUCCAUUUAUUUUGUAUCAUGUUAAAUAUUUUACAUUGUUACUGGACAAAGGUUUCUGGUCUUUUCUAAAUAUGUGUAUAUCUAAAUGUAGUUUAUAUCUUUUUAUUAUUCACUUCAAUAUUUUUCUAUGCUAAUUUCAGUUUGACACAAAAAAUAUCAUUUUGUGUGGCCUUGGGUGGUCUAUUGAUGCACAUGUGCUGCUGUGGUUUGGGUUGUCCAUGUCUGGCCCAGAGCAAAUUCAGCACACUCUGUGCUCUCAUUUUCUGUCUUUCUUUUAACUGCCUUUCCUCUAUCCAAUAAAGCAUAAAAUAUACCUUCAAAAUAUGAAUUUGUGACAGUCAAAAAGGUGUGGACUUGAUGGCUUAAAGUAAUCCAAAGCUUAAAUGCUACUGGGUGGGUCUGGUGUUUUGGCAUAUCUUACACAGGAUAAUAAACAUAGAUUAAGUAGAGCUCACUGUUGAUGUCAUAAUACCUCUUUUUGAUGACUCAGACAUUUCUUUCUGCAAUGAGUGAUAGCCUACACUUUAGUCAGCAUGAAAUGAUAAGCAUUUCUCUCAUAGAAAAAAAUUACUCUGGCACACCGCUAUUCUCAGUAAGUGGUAAGACGUAUUGCAUUAGCCAAAUAUUAGUGUGAAGGAGUUGUUUUCAACUAUAGGAUUUUUUUCAACAUUUAACAUUAGUUAUUUAAGUUGUUAAAUCAAUGUAAUCAAGUGCAUCAGAAAAAGUCUAUAAAAGAAGCAAAUACAACUGUGUGUGAAAGAGGCAGGUUCCUUGCCGAAUGUGAGUGUGCCAUCUAGUGGAACAGCUUAAUAACUGCUCAUGGGCUCAAUCAAAUCCCUUCCACCCUAUGAAACAUGUUGUAAUAGAGUUGGUUCUGUUCACAUGAUGAUUAGUAACUUGUCUAAGACCAGAAGACUUAUGUUACUUCCCAGUGCUAAUGUUUAGGCUAUGGCUCAUUGGGUUAAGUGUUGUAGCAUGCAGAUUAAGUAAGUUCAAAUCCUGUCAGUUACAUCAGGACAUUCAUUCACUUUAUGAAGACAUCCUGACAUGAUCCUUCCCUGUUUGUCUGUCUCCAGCAAUGGGUUACACACAUACUUGGGAUUGGGGUUAGGCUUUA
ensembl:lncRNA